GCAAUGCAAACUGAAUAAGAACACAGUCCAAAUGCACCAGUGCCAGUUGUUUUCCUAAGGGCUGUUGGAGUGUAGGGAAAACACCCCUGAAAGAAGAAAGAGUUCAGCUUGAGGUACUUUGAUGAGGCAAAUGGAGCAAUGGAAUAUCUCAACAGAGACUUUUUCAUGUUCUUAUUAUAUGCUCUAGAGAAUGUGCUUGCUACUAUCAAUGUUAUCGUAUGCAUGUAUUCAACUGAUCCUUUUAAUUUAGCGCUACAGUUUAUACAGCCUUUGAAUUAUGUAACAAAGGCUGCUUGAAAGCCCAGAUUCCUUUCAGCAUGGAAGCAGUCAAGAGACCAAACAGAUUCCACCGACUCCUGAAGUAAAGCAGCUUGCAAACACCUUAGUUUCUUGUCGAAGGCUGUUAAGUUAGAAGAGUGUAAGGCUUGAGUGCUGUGGCAAUGAAUAAAAAGAAGGGAAAGAAGGGAAUAGUCUUAAAUGUUGCAAGAAAUUAAGAUCUGUUUUGUCCAUUAUGUCUUGCAUAAAUCCAAAGCUUCACUUUAAGGAGAUGGCAACUUCUAAUCUGUCAGUCCUUUCAUAAAUAAUUUUUUAAAAUGUAAACUCAUGAAAACAAACCAACAAUAUACAAGCUCAUCUACAAGAGCCGUUCCAAAAGUGAUGCCUCCUGUUUUAUUAUGGUGGUCCACAACAACAGAGGCAGAUAGUAGUGUUAUGGCAAGAGAAGCUGGACCUUCCCACAAAUAUUCCAUUACAUUUUCUUGCCAUGUGACAGAUGGCAGCAGAGGGGGUGUCUGACGUAAGAGUGUGUGUGAAGCAAAGGUGAGAAUUUGAAUUUCUCCAUGUGGAAAAAAUGGUACCCAAUGACGUUCAUCAAUGCUUGCUGACUGUUUCCGGAGAACAAACAGUGGAUGUGAGCACAGUGAGGUAGUGGAUGGUGCAUUUCAUCAGUGGCAACAGUGGAUCUCCUCCACUACUGCAGUUCUUUAUGAGCAUGGCAUGCAGGUUUUUGUUCAUUGCUGGCAAAAAUGCAUUGCUAAUGAUGGUGACUAUGUGGAAAAAUAGUGUUUUAGCUGAGAAUUUUCUAUAACAAGUAGUGUUAUUAUAUGCUUUAUAUCUGUUAUAUUUUCCAUGAAAAAUCAUACUUUCAUGGCAACCUACAUGUAUAUUAUAUAUAAUUCCU